UGGACGCGCCGCUCGGCCCCCCGGCGGGGCGGCGCGGGGCGGAGAGGAGAGGAGCGGAGAGGAGCGGAACCAGGCGGCGUGGCACAGCACGGCCCGGCGAGGCACAGCACGCCAGGUGUAAGGGUGAACAGUGCACAUUCCCAGAAAGGAGAGGACUUGAUUAGAAAGAUUCUGUCCUGCAGCACAUUGGACUGUGAAGCUGCCAGCUGGAACAGUAACAGGUUCUCAAGAUUUAUGCAUCUGUCUCCCUGAAGGACAUUACCACUGCUGUCUAGUGCUGCAUCAGUAUGCCUAGAAGAGGUUGUCAGGAGGAUACUGCAUCCUUUUGUCCAAGCAAGACUACCCUGCCCCAUGGAGAGGAGAUGGGGGCACAGCUGGUGUUAUAAAAAUACGUCCAGCUUUCAAACACCUCCAGCAACUGAGCCAAUACAGAAACAACCCCAGCCCAAUGACUUUUGUGAGCCAGCCUGACCCAGCAGAGCAUAAACACAAAAGAUCUCCUAGGAAAUAGCUUUUGUAUCCCUUAAUUUCAUGGGACAGGUCAGGGCAGGUAGCUGCAUGGAAGCCAGCCAGGAUUGCUGUAUACCCACACCACCAGCAGCCUGCACAAGAGCUCCCACAAGGUUUAAGUCAUGGUAUGUGGGAAAAUGGAACCUCUCUACACAAACUAUUUACAUCAAAAAAAAAAAUCAACACCGGUGAUAAGCACAUGGAGAGGCUUGGGAGCAAGCUCAGCAUAAUCCACAUGUCACUGAGAUAUUGCCUGCAUCCUCCCAGGCAGGUGGAGUCUUUCUUAGGACACCUUGAAGAUCCCCCACUUCUGAGAAUUCACUGGAAAACCUGCUCUGGUGUGGCAGAGAUGGGACUCAACCACGUGGCUUCCUGUACUCAACACUGUCACUUGUAAAAUUACCACGUUGCCCUCUAUACCCACUUUUCUCCCACAAAAGCAAGUAGAUGCUUCCACUCCAGCAUGACAGUGACCUCUCACAUGAAGACAAGGGGUGUCACUUCAUCAGUGUUGACAUUGUGCCAAUAAACACAGUCAUUACUCAA